CCCUUAGAUGUUCUGGGCCGCACGCGCGCUACACUGAACAGUUCAACAAGUCUUAACCUUGGCCGAUAGGUCUGGGUAAUCUUUGAACGCUGUUCGUGAUUGGGAUAGACCUUUGCAAUUAUGGGUCUUCAACGAGGAAUUCCUAGUAAACGCAAGUCAUCAGCUUGCAUUGAUUACGUCCCUGCCCUUUGUACACACCGCCCGCCGCACCUACCGAUUGAAUGGUCCGGUGAAAUCUCGGGACGGCGGCUUGGUCGCUUGCGUCCGACUGCUGAAACUUGAUUAAACCAUAUCAUUUAGAGGAAGGUGAAGUCGUAACA
rnacentral:rRNA from 1 species